GCUGUGAUUAUUUGAUUGUAAAUAGAUUUUACUAGGUACUAUUAGUAGAUUUGCUAGUGACCUUUUUCUCUUUCGUGUUAUGCGUAUUAAACCUAAAAGAAAUAUUUACAUAGUAUAUAAGUAUGCAUAGAUACUAAUGUCGUUGAUUAUCUUUUAUAUAAAUAUUGAUGUUUUAAUGAUUAAGUUCUAGAAAAUAAGAACACAAAUAAGUACUGUGAUUGUUUACUUGCAAUAAUAUUUCGGUUAGUUAUAAGGGCUGAACACUGGGUUCAUCAAGGCUGAUUACUGGAUUUUAGAGGCUGACCACUGGCAAAAAGUGCCAUAUUUUGUUUGAAUUUAUAUAUAUAUUUUAUAAAGAGACAGGUUGUUUUUGACAUAUGUUGUUUAAAAACUAUAAUAAACAAUUAAUCCAAUCA